rnacentral:rRNA from 1 species
CUCAGGAUGAACGCUAGCGGCAGGCCUAAUACAUGCAAGUCGAACGCUCAGUAGCAAUACUGGGAGUGGCGCACGGGUGCGUAACGCGUACACAAUCUACCUCUAAGCGGGGGACACCUCCUGGAAACGGGGAUUAAUACCGCAUAAUAUGCCGAAGUCGCAUGACUUUGGAUUAAAGCAGCAAUGCACUUAGAGAUGAGUGUGCGUCCCAUUAGGUAGUUGGUGAGGUAACGGCUCACCAAGCCUAUGAUGGGUAGCCGGUCUGAGAGGAUGGUCGGCCACACGGGCACUGAGACACGGGCCCGACUCCUACGGGAGGCAGCAGUAAGGAAUAUUGGUCAAUGGUGGAAACACUGAACCAGCCAUGCCGCGUGGAGGAAUAAGGUCCUACGGAUUGUAAACUCCUUUUGACGAGGAAGAAAAUGUUAGAUUUAUCUAAUUUUGACGGUACUCGUAGAAUAAGCACCGGCUAACUCCGUG